ACAGGUGGUGCAUGGUUGUCGUCAGCUCGUGUCGUGAGAUGUUGGUUAAGUCCCGCAACGAGCGCAACCCCUAUUGUUAGUUGCCAUCAUUCAGUUGGGCACUCUAGCGAGACUGCCGGUAAUAACCGGAGGAAGUGGGAUGACGUCAAAUCAUCAUGCCCCUUAUGACCUGGGCUACACACGUGCUACAAUGGUUGGUACAACGAGUUGCGAGUCGGUGACGGCGAGCUAAUCUCUUAAAGCCAAUCUCAGUUCGGAUUGUAGGCUGCAACUCGCCUACAUGAAGCCGGAAUCGCUAGUAAUCGCGGAUCAGCAUGCCGCGGUGAAUACGUUCCCGGGCCUU
rnacentral:rRNA from 1 species